UCGCACUGCGCUCGUCCGAAGAAACAGAACCACUGAGGAGCGCCAAUCGUAGCCCGAAAAGGUUUGAAUGUGUUCACCCUUCUCUUCUGUGUAAAAAAAGAAUCAGUAAAUUUAGAAUAUAUUGGUGAAACAAAGGGAGAACUAAUGGUACUACUGCUGAUGAUUGUCCUAUUUACAACCUAUGUUUCACAGAUCACAGCAUCCGGUGACAAGAACCAGAGAAGCCCUACCGCGCAUAAAGAAUCUGACGGAAAAUCUUUAGUUCCACAGAUAGCUUUACAAAAAGUUAUGCGGUUUGUUCAAACUGAUGAAGAAAUUCAUCUACAAAUGAUUGACCUAGAGGAUUGGAUCAACCUCAGAUGCGAAUGUGUGAAGUCUAGGUUCCAAGCAAGACAUACCGAUGGAUGUGAGAGGACGAUGCACUGCUACACGUGGGUGAAGGUCU
rnacentral:lncRNA from 1 species